GACGAACGCUGGCGGCGUGCCUAAUACAUGCAAGUUGAGCGAUGAAGAUUGGUGCUUGCACCAAUUUGAAGAGCAGCGAACGGGUGAGUAACGCGUGGGGAAUCUGCCUUUGAGCGGGGGACAACAUUUGGAAACGAAUGCUAAUACCGCAUAACAACUUUAAACAUAAGUUUUAAGUUUGAAAGAUGCAAUUGCCUCACUCAAAGAUGAUCCCGCGUUGUAUUAGCUAGUUGGUGAGGUAAAGGCUCACCAAGGCGAUGAUACAUAGCCGACCUGAGAGGGUGGUCGGCCACAUUGGGACUGCGACACGGCCCAAACUCCUACGGGAGGCAGCAGUAGGGAAUCUUCGGCCAUGGGCGGAAGUCUGACCGAGCAACGCCGCGUGAGUGAAGAAGGUUGUCGGAUCGUAAAACUCUGUUGGUAGAGAAGAACGUUGGUGAGAGUGGAAAGCUCAUCAAGUGACGGUAACUACCCAGAAAGGGACGGCUAACUACGUG
rnacentral:rRNA from 1 species